rnacentral:misc_RNA from 1 species
GGAGUUCAGUCUUCCCAGGCCCACCACGCUUCGCCGUCGGCUUCGCAUGGCACCGCCACGCAGAACGACCAGGCGAAGCGUGUCCGGCAUAGCCCGAAGGGCGACGCCGGACAGAAAGAGCGCUUCGUCUUCUGGUUACGGGGCCAUAGCUCAGCUGGGAGAGCGCGUGCUUUGCAAGCAUGAGGUCGUCGGUUCGAUCCCGUCUGGCUCCACCAGAUGGUUUGAUCACCGAGAUCUUGACCGUCGUCCGCGAAACAUCACUUCGCAUCCUGCUAGUCUGGAUAGACAGCAAGUUGCGUGUUUUCUGACAUCGUAAAGAGGAGAUCGAUCCGAGUUGGAUCGUGCAACAUAUCGUUGCGCGAGCCUUCAUUAUCUCCGGAUCAUUUCGGCGCUCGCUUCCAGCCGUGAGGUUGGAUGCGGGUUGUAAAUGAUCCUUUUAGCGAAGCUUGACCGCCUCGCUAUCGGAACGAUCUUACGAAGCAAGCUGGUCUUUCUAGUCAAUGUCCGGCUGUGAGAAUAGCGUUCGUCGAGGGCGCGUGCCGCAGGGCAGUUCUUACAGACAACAUUCUGCCGAGUGUGUGGACAUUGAUAAUGAGAGCAAUCAAGUGCCUUAAGGGUGUUCGGUGGAUGCCUUGGCGCUGAGAGGCGAUGAAGGACGUGCUACGCUGCGAUAAGCCGUGGGGAGCUGCGAAGAAGCUUUGAUCCGCGGAUUUCCGAAUGGG